rnacentral:tRNA from 1 species
ACUAAUUUGGCAGAUAAGUGCAUUGGAUUUAAGCUCUAAACAUAAAAUUAUAUUUUUAUUUAGUA